rnacentral:rRNA from 1 species
UACGAAGGGGGCUAGCGUUGUUCGGAAUUACUGGGCGUAAAGCGUGCGCAGGCGGUUAUGUAAGACAGUUGUGAAAUCCCCGGGCUCAACCUGGGAACUGCAUCUGUGACUGCAUUGCUGGAGUACGGCAGAGGGGGAUGGAAUUCCGCGUGUAGCAGUGAAAUGCGUAGAUAUGCGGAGGAACACCGAUGGCGAAGGCAAUCCCCUGGGCCUGUACUGACGCUCAUGCACGAAAGCGUGGGGAGCAAACAGG